rnacentral:rRNA from 1 species
UAGGGAAUCUUCCACAAUGGGCGGAAAGACCUCGAUGGAGCAACGCCGCGUGUGUGAUGAAGGGUUUCGGCUCGUAAACACUGUUGUAAGAGAAGAAUGACAUUGAGAGUAACUGUUCAAUGUGUGACGGUAUCUUACCAGAAAGGAACGGCUAACUACGUGCCAC